GAGGGUAUAGCUCAGUAGUAGAGUGCAGGUUUAGCAUGCACAACAUCCUGGGUUCAACCCCCAGUACCUCCA
rnacentral:tRNA from 1 species